rnacentral:rRNA from 1 species
CGAUUGGACCCUGUGUAUSAUGGGCUACCUAAUAAUAAUUUGAAUUAAAAAUCCCGAAAUCUUUGUGAGCUAACCUUCUUCUGUUAAGAACAAAAACAUAUAUAUAGAAAAAUAUAUGUCAGAAAAAAAGUUAGCGAUAAUAUGUCAGCCGCACAAGAUGAUAGCUGGAUUCUUCCAAAAUACAUAAAAGUAUAACUUUUAUAAAAAAGUAAAUUUUUACGGGGAAUAGCUCGUAAAAAGAAAAUUUUGAUUAAUAUGUAAACCAAUACAGUUAACUAGGCUUAUAAAUUGUCAAGUUAAUUAAUCUGUUACAAGAAAGCUAAAUUUUCUGGGAAAAUUAUAUUAACAAUUGAAUUUAAAUAGGAAGAGAAAACCUAAAACAUCAGGUUUACCAAAAUGGCAGCAUUAAUACUUAAACUAUUUACCUAGUAAAAAUUAUAACAAAAAGUUUUUAAGGAACUCGGCAAAUAGGGCUACGACUGUUUAUCAAAAACCUAGUCUCUUGCACUCAUAAGAGAUGAAGUCUGCCCAGUGACAACUGUUUAAACGGCCGCGGUAUAACGUGCUAAGGUAGCAUAAUAAUUUGUUCUUUCAUUGAGGACUAGCAUGAAAGGCACCACGUUAGCCCUACUGUCUCAAAGACUUUUAAAGAAAUUUGACUUAAAAGUGAAAAGGCUUUUAUAAAACUGAUGGACGAGAAGACCCUGUAGAGCUUUAGUAAAGGUUAAGAACAAUACACAGUUUCUUAAAAACACUUACUUUUAUUGGGGCAAUAUGAGAGAAAUAAAACUCUCUAAACCGAAAUUCCAAUAGGAAUUAAAAUUACUCAAUCCUCUAAGAGAAUAAAGAAAAGCUACCUGAGGGAUAACAGCGUAAUCCUACCUAAGAGACCUAAUCGAAGGUACGGUUUGCGACCUCGAUGUUGGA